rnacentral:rRNA from 1 species
UCAGUGUAGCAUGGGCGAAGCUGUCCAGCCAUGCCGCGUGUGUGAAGAAGGUCUUCGGAUUGUAAAGCACUUUAAGUUGGGAGGAAGGGCAGUAAGUUAAUACCUUGCUGUUUUGACGUUACCGACAGAAUAAGCACCGGCUAACUCUGUGCCAGCAGCCGCGGUAAUAA